GGCUCCAAUUGAUUCACGACAGGGAAAGCUAGGGAAGAAAUCGCUUCUGUCUCCUGUGUUUUUGCGCCUCCAUGCACGGUAGCCGCAGCCCAGCCAGUUUUGGAUAGUAGCCAUAUGUGCUCCGAUCUGAUCCCGUCAGCACCCCAUAACCAAACGUGUUGCAGCAGGCCAUGAUUCCCAUCCCCAGAAGCCGCAUCUUUGAGGAGCUCCACAAUAUUCGUGGGAAAGUAAAUCCGAUGAAAUUCCCAAAGUUUUCACGUGGACUCCAAUGGAAUUAGUCCUCCUAUUGACUGAUCGACAGAGAAGACAGACUACUGACGAGGCUAUGCGUGAGAGGAUGGUGUCCUAGGGUUGCCCUAUGAAUCAUGAUCAGCGGCCGUAGAUGGCUCCGAGCUAGAUUGGAAAAAGGAAAGAAGAGCUUACGCGUGAUAGGGAGAGGAUGUGGUUUUAUCUCCGAAAGGUGUUAACUACUAACUAGACGUGCUGGUGCGCUGCAAGAGAGGUUACAGUGUCCACCCACCAUUAACAUGGCCUAUUUCAUAGAGUAGAAGAGUUGGCAUGUUCCCUGUAUUAAUUGUAUCAUUGUUGGCUACUCGGUGAUCCUCUUAUCCCAAAUUAUUGGUUGAUGGUGCUCUUUUGUUGUCAACUUGAAUUGCUAGGAAAAUUCCAAGAACAAAAUUUCUUUGCUGGCACAUACUCAUGUUAUUCUGGCAAGAGUUAAGUACCCAAACUGACCACUGAAUCUAAAUGAGUAUUGGUCAUAGAGACCACGUUUUGUCCUGAUAAGAUUUUACCAACUUGCUUGCACCAAGGAAAAGCAGACAACCUAGGAAAGGUAUUAGUGAUUUUGUUUAAAAGCUGUCAGCAGGCGUUCUAUCUUCACCACUAUUACGAUCUAUUCCUAUUUGCUGGAUUUUCAUAUGGCAGUUCUGCGGCAAGUGUUCGGCCGAAAUCUCACUAAUAUUCAGGAUUGCUGAGAUUUUUUUUACUAGGAGAUAACUAGAUAAUCAUUUAAUUUACUGUAUAGAAGA